rnacentral:rRNA from 1 species
AUUGAACGCUGGCGGCAGGCCUAACACAUGCAAGUCGAAUGGUAACAGGAAACAGCUUGCUGUUUCGCUGACGAGUGGCGGACGGGUGAGUAAUGUCUGGGAAACUGCCUGAUGGAGGGGGAUAACUACUGGAAACGGUAGCUAAUACCGCAUAACGUCGCAAGACCAAAGAGGGGGACCUCCGGGCCUCUUGCCAUCAGAUGUGCCCAGAUGGGAUUAGCUAGUAGGUGGGGUAACGGCUCACCUAGGCGACGAUCCCUAGCUGGUCUGAGAGGAUGACCAGCCACACUGGAACUGAGACACGGUCCAGACUCCUACGGGAGGCAGCAGUGGGGAAUAUUGCACAAUGGGCGCAAGCCUGAUGCAGCCAUGCCGCGUGUAUGAAGAAGGCCUUCGGGUUGUAAAGUACUUUCAGCGGGGAGGAAGGGAGUAAAGUUAAUACCUUUGCUCAUUGACGUUACCCGCAGAAGAAGCACCGGCUAACUCCGUG